rnacentral:rRNA from 1 species
CAGCGAGGGCGUAGCAAUACGCCUGUCGGCGACCGGCGCACUGGUGAGUAACACGUAUGCGACCUGCCCCCUACAGGGGUAUAACCCGUAGAAAUGCGGACUAAUCCCCCAUAGUCCUGGGUGCUGCAUGGCAUUCAGGGGAAAGGCCAGCCGGUAGGGGAUGGGCAUGCGGCGCAUUAGCUAGUUGGCGGGGCAACGGCCCACCAAGGCAACGAUGCGUAGGGGUUCUGAGAGGAAGGUCCCCCACACUGGUACUGAGGCACGGACCAGACUCC